AUGGACUGGUUGGAUCUCCUUGCAGCCCAAGGGACUCUCAAGAGUCGUCUCCAACACCACAGUUCAAAAGCAUCAAUGAUAUACAUAUUUAAGUGUGUGCUAUUCUUGAAUGCAGAGUUCCAAAGAAUAGCAAGGAGAGAUAAGAAAGCCUUCCUCAGCAAUCAAGGCAAAGAAAUUGAGGAAAACAACAGAAUGGGAAAGACUAGAGAUCUCUUCAAGAAAAUUAGAGAUGCCAAGGGAACAUUUCAUGCAAAGAUGGGCUUGAUAAAGGACAGAAAUGAUAUGGACCUAACAGAAGCAGAAGAUAUUAAGAACAGGUGGCAAGAAUACACAGAAGAACUGUACAAAAAAGAGCUUCAUGAUCCAGAUAAUCACAAUGGUGUGAUCACUCACCUAGAGCCAGACAUUUUGGGAUGCGAAGUCAAGUGGGCCUUAGAAAGCAUCACUACAAACAAAGCUAGUGGAGGUGAUGGAAUUUCAGUUGAGCUAUUUCAAAUCCUGAGAGAUGAUGCUGUGAAAGUGCUACACUCAAUAUGCCAGCAAAUUUGGAAAACUCAGCAGUGGCCACAGGACUGGAAAAGAUCAGUUUUCAUUCCAACCCCAAAGAAAGGCAAUGCCAAAGAAUGCUCAAACAACCGCACAAUUGCACGCAUCUCACAUGCUAGUAAAGUAAUGCUCAAAAUUCUCCAAGCCAGGCUUCAGCAAUACGUCAGCCGUGAACUUCCAGAUGUUCAAGCUGGUUUUAGAAAAGGCAGAGGAACCAGAGAUCAAAUUGCCAACAUCUGUUGGAUCAUGAAAAAAGCAAGAGAGUUCCAGAAAACAUAUAUUUCUGCUUUAUUGACUAUGCCAAAGCCUUUGACUUUGGAUCACAAUAAACUGUGGAAAAUUCUGAAAGAGAUGGGAAUCCCAGACCACCUGACCUGCCUCUUGAGAAACCUAUAUGCAAGUCAGGAAGCAACAGUUAGAACUGGACAUGGAACAACAGACCGCUUCCAAAUAGGAAAAGGAGUACAUCAAGGCUGUAUAUUGUCAUCCUGCUUAUUUAACUUAUCAGACUACAUCAUGAGAAAUGCUGGACUGGAAGAAACACAAGCUGGAAUUAAGAUUGCUGCGAGAAAUAUCAACAACCUCAGAUAUGCAGAUGACACCACCCUUAUGGCAGAAAGUGAAGAGGAACUAAAAAGCUUCUUGAUGAAAGUGAAAGAGGAGAGUGAAAAAGUUGGCUUAAAGCUCAGUACUCAGAAGACUAAGAUCAUGGCAUCCGGUCCCAUCACUUCAUGGAAAAUAGAUGGGGAAACAGUGUCAGACUUUAUUUUUGGGGGCUCCAAAAUCAGUGCAGAUGGUGACUACAGCCAUGAAAUUAAAGGACACUUACUCCUUGGAAGGAAAGUUAUGACCAACCUAGAUAGCAUAUUCAAAAGCAGAGACAUUACUUUGGCGACUAAGGUCCGUCUAGUCAAGGCUAUGGUUUUUCCUGUGGUCAUGUAUGGAUGUGAGAGUUGGGCUGUGAAGAAGGCUGAGUGCCAAAGAACUGAUGCUUUUGAAUUGUGGUGUUGGAGAAGACUCUUGAGAGUCCCCUAG
rnacentral:lncRNA from 1 species